rnacentral:rRNA from 1 species
GACCGGCGCACGGGUGAGUAACACGUAUCAACCUGCCGAUGACUCGGGGAUAGCCUUUCGAAAGAAAGAUUAAUACCCGAUGGCAUAGUUCUUCCGCAUGGUAGAACUAUUAAAGAAUUUCGGUCAUCGAUGGGGAUGCGUUCCAUUAGGUUGUUGGCGGGGUAACGGCCCACCAAGCCUUCGAUGGAUAGGGGUUCUGAGAGGAAGGUCCCCACAUUGGAACUGAGACACGGUCCAAACUCCUACGGGAGGCAGCAUGA